rnacentral:tRNA from 1 species
AGACUGAUGGCCUAAUGGAAGGGCGCUCACUUUGGGAGUGGGAGGUGGAAGUUCGAUUCUUCCCAGACUG